UUCUGCAUAGCCUUUUCUUCAUGGAUAGUUUCUAUUGUGAGUUCUGCUCACAGCCUCACAGGGCUAGGUGGAGAGCUUAUUAGUAUCUUAGUAGUGCUCACUACCUCGAUGUCUUGAUGCACACUACUACUCUGUUGGUUCUCUGCUUAAAUGAGGCAUCAAAUAUUCACUCUGCCAAAGUAGUGAAUAUAUGAAUGGUAUUCUUGAUUAGGGUAUUUCUCAAUAUCUCUCUGCUGAUUUAGUCAAUAACUAUAGUAGCCUGACAAUUAGUCCUUGGUGAAGGUAAUUUACCUCUCCCUCAUUACAUAUCUGGAUACAUGUGGUGGUUGCAUUCCUUUACUAAAGCUUGGUAUUUUUGUGUCUCCGGUGAAGCUCCGGUGGAUGGCGGUGAGAUGCAUGGCAUUUCUUCAGAGCCUUAUAUGCAUCGUUAUGAUUAUGCAUGAUUUAUAGUGUGUUCCAACCAGAGUUGUUCCUUUAUUGACUAAUAUCAAUGAGAAGUAUAUGUAGCUUAUCCCAACCUCUUGAAGGUUAUGUUCUUCAAUUUUUUUUUUGUGUUGGACUGCACACAAUGUUUUCUUUGUCUUUACAUCUUGUUUUCACUGGUCCCCGUUUUUCUUGUGCAGUUAUCUUAAUUUCCCUGUAAAUGUUCAUUUGGGCAAUUAUAAUCCCAGCUUCUUCAAGGUUUCAGCUGAUGGAGAAUCAAACUUAAAUCGAUGGACGGAGCUCCGUUAGGUAUUACAGGGGAAAGCAGUAUCUAUGUUUUCUGAAUUCUGGCUUGAUUUAUGUUGUUAAUGUUGCAAAAUAGCAAUAUUGAUGAAAUAGUGUAUUUUUUCACGAACUGAUUGAAUGGUUUGCUCUUAGAAAAUAAAUCUGCAUAUGUACUAUUUAUUUCGAUUUCUACGCAAUGCAUAGCUCGGAGUUCAUCCUAGGGUGCCUCUGUGAUCUCUACUCAGUUAUUGACUUGCUUUCUGAUGCUUCGGUUUUUCUUCUAGGAGGAUGGCAUAUCUCGGUUUGUGUACACCACCUGGGUUCAUGUGCGGUGGACAAUGGUUCGAGCAACCCUGAUGUGCAAGUGUUAUUAAUAAUCUGAUGUUUCAAGUUAUCUGUAUUGGCUCAUGUUAUUUGAGCUGCCCUGUAGCAUUAAUCAUGUAAUGAACCAAAUGAUCAAUAUGAUCGCCACCUAUGAUGAGUAUGAUGGCUGAAUGUUACGUCACGAGGAUCAGAUCGUUUCUCUACUACAACAAGACAGGAAUCUGAAAGAUUUGUGCAGAGGGCCUCAACCUGGUUUCAUGGUCGAGCUCUCAACAGCUGCUGCUCCCAAUCCUUAAUGACCACAUUGCCACCCGCGUCGUCGCUGCUGCAGCAUUCUGCAGCACUGAUAUUGACCUCUCCACUUCUGUCAUGCCCUGUACGGAGCCGUCGGCUGCCUCUCAUCGCCUCCAGUUUACCCGCUUCCACAAUUCCAUCACUCUUGAGAAACUUCAAGAGCAAGAGGCGUUUCGUUUCUUUGUAAUCUCUACGGCAGGAACCGUGUUUUGCUACAUCAUAUCUUGCUUGAUGGGACUUUGCAUGCACGCGGACCAUGAAACUCACUCAUGGAAGUGGGAAUUGGAUACCUAGAAUUCAAAAAGUUAUUGUGUGGUUAUAUUUAGAAAUAUUUUAUAAAUUGCUUGUUGGCUUGUGCUAAUAUGUAUUAUAUUGAGUUAUUGUCUUUCUAAUAAGAUUUUCAGAUAUUUUGAAUCAUGUUGAUAUGCUAAUUGGAUCUUUGAUUGUAUUCAAUAUGGUCGCUGACUUGUUACACUAUUUCGGAGAUCUAGCAGUGUAAAAUAAAGUAUAUGAAAAUCUGAACUCGCAGAUUUUUGGUAGUUGCACUACGUAUCAUCAGUUUUAUAGCAGUUUUAUGUGGUUGGUGCUAAUUAAUUCAUUUGAUAUUACCAUCAGGAACAGUAUUUUGCUACAUCAUAUCUUGCUUGAUGGGACUUUGCAUGCACACUGACUAUUUUGAGCAUCAAAGAUCUUGAAUAUGGUGCUUAAAAUUAAAUAAUCUAUUUUUCCGUUCUAUGAUAAAAAGAAUUGUGAAUUAUGUUCUAUGAUAUGUAGGCCAGUAUAUAAACGCUUAGCACACUAUGUAAUUAGUUUUGAGUCAUGUAUUUUCUUCUCUAUGCUUUGUACACCAGUAUAUAAGUGCUUAGUACUACAUAUAGCCAUGUGGCUACCUAAUUGUGUGCUUCAAUCUCUCCUUUUUAGCUAUUAAUUAUUAUAUAUGAGAAGUACAUAAUUAAUACCAGAGGCUGGCAUUUGAGAUCAAGGGCUGGGGUCAAUGAUUACUUGAUUAGCAAUAUGUGUUUAGGUGAAGAGCAUGUCGUGAUUACUCUUUACGGUUUUAUCGAGUGCAUUCACCAUUGUGCAUGUAUAUGUGUUGUUUUUUAGAGCUAUACAUUUUCUUGCAAAUUCUUGCAAAACAAACUCACCAAUUCUGCCCUGCUUCAGCUCCUUUGUAAGCCAUUUGGUUAAUUCGGUCUCCAAACUGGUCCAUCAA